rnacentral:lncRNA from 1 species
UGAAAUUGCGGAGGAAGUAACGGUAGAUAGGGCUAUUAGAUUCACGUUUGGAGCAAAACGCGAGGGAGGGAGUGUGUUCUGAGUUUGGAGCCGCCGUACUCGGUUAGAAGAAACGGCGUCGGAGAUUGAAACGGUGGUUUUUCAGAAUUUCGAAAGUCAGCGUUUGAGAUACUGUGUUGGUGGUGAUGAUGAAACUGACGAAACCAAAGGGCGGGAAACGGA